UGGGGAAUUUUGGACAAUGGGCGCAAGCCUGAUCCAGCAAUGCCGCGUGCAGGAUGAAGGCCUUCGGGUUGUAAACUGCUUUUGUACGGAACGAAAAGCCUCUCUCUAAUACAGGGGGUGAUGACGGUACCGUAAGAAUAAGCACCGGCUAACUACGUGCCAGCAGCCGCGGUAAUACGUAGGGUGCAAGCGUUAAUCGGAAUUACUGGGCGUAAAGCGUGCGCAGGCGGUUUUGUAAGACAGUGGUGAAAUCCCGGGCUCAACCUGGGAACUGCCAUUGUGACUGCAAGGCUGGAGUGCGGCAGAGGGGGAUGGAAUUCCGCGUGUAGCAGUGAAAUGCGUAGAUAUGCGGAGGAACACCGAUGGCGAAGGCAAUCCCCUGGGCCUGCACUGACGCUCAUGCACGAAAGCGUGGGGAGCAAACAGGAUUAGAUACCCUGGUAGUCCACGCCCUAAAACGAUGUCAACUGGUUGUUGGGGAUUUUAUUUCUUCAGUAACGAAGCUAACGCGUGAAGUUGACCGCCUGGGGGAGUACGGCCGCAAGGUUAAAAACUCAAAA
rnacentral:rRNA from 1 species